UACAGAGGGGCAAGCGUUGUUCGGAAUUACUGGCGUAAAGGGCGCGUAGGCGGCCUGUUAAGUCGAACGUGAAAUCCCCGGGCUCAACUCGGGAACUGCCGUUGAUACUAUCUGUCUUGAAUACCGUGGAGGUGAGCGGAAUAUGUCAUGUAGCGGUGAAAUGCUUAGAUAUGGACAUAGAACACCGAUUGCGAAGGCAGCUCACUACGCGGUCAUUGACGCUGAGGCACGAAAGCG
rnacentral:rRNA from 1 species